rfam:Triticum urartu cultivar G1812 contig573153, whole genome shotgun sequence.
AUUCUACUCCCUCCAUUCCAAAAAGUUUGUCUUACAUUUGUCUAGAUAUAUAUGUAUCUAGACACAUUUUAGUGUUAGAUAUGUCACUAUCUAGACAAAUCUAAGAUAAAUUUUUUGGGACGGAGGUAAUACCUA